rnacentral:rRNA from 1 species
GUAGGGUGCGAGCGUUAAUCGGAAUUACUGGGCGUAAAGCGUGCGCAGGCGGUUCGUUAAGUCUGAUGUGAAAGCCCCGGGCUCAACCUGGGAAUGGCAUUGGAAACUGGCGGGCUGGAGUGUGGCAGAGGGGGGUGGAAUUCCGCGUGUAGCAGUGAAAUGCGUAGAGAUGCGGAGGAACACCGAUGGCGAAGGCAACCCCCUGGGCUGACACUGACGCUCAGGCACGAAAGCGUGGGGAGCAAACAGGAUUAGAUACCCUGGUAGUCCACGCCCUAAACGAUGUCAACUAGGUGUUGGGGGAGCGAUUUCUCAGUACCGUAGCUAACGCGUGAAGUUGACCGCCUGGGGAGUACGGCCGCAAGGUUA